GAUGAACGCUGGCGGCGUGCCUAAUACGUGCAAGUCGAGCGAACAGAUGAGGAGCUUGCUCCUCUGACGUUAGCGGCGGACGGGUGAGUAACACGUGGAUAACCUACCUAUAAGACUGGGAUAACUUCGGGAAACCGGAGCUAAUACCGGAUAAUAUAUUGAACCGCAUGGUUCAAUAGUGAAAGACGGUUUUGCUGUCACUUAUAGAUGGAUCCGCGCCGCAUUAGCUAGUUGGUAAGGUAACGGCUUACCAAGGCAACGAUGCGUAGCCGACCUGAGAGGGUGAUCGGCCACACUGGAACUGAGACACGGUCCAGACUCCUACGGGAGGCAGCAGUAGGGAAUCUUCCGCAAUGGGCGAAAGCCUGACGGAGCAACGCCGCGUGAGUGAUGAAGGUCUUCGGAUCGUAAAACUCUGUUAUUAGGGAAGAACAAAUGUGUAAGUAACUAUGCACGUCUUGACGGUACCUAAUCAGAAAGCCGCGGCUAACUACGUG
rnacentral:rRNA from 1 species